UCCGGCCUGAGCCCGGACCUCGACUCCUGGUUUCGGCACGCUGCAGCUGCAAGCUCUUGGACCCUGGCGCAGCCUUCUGGAGGGGUGAGCGGAGCUGGCUCUGCUGGCUAACAGGGCACGGCGCCCGGGAUGCGCGGGGACAUAGGUUCGAGCCCUGGUCCGGGAAGAUCCCACAUGCCGCGAAGUAACUAAGUUCGUGCACCAAAACUACUGAACUCGUGAGCCACAACUACUGAAGCCCACAUGUCUAGAGCCCAUGCUCCGCAACAUGAGAAGCCACUGCAAUGAGAAGCCCUCACACCGUAACAAAGAGUAGCCCCUGCUCACCACAAC